CUGACUUUGCACUACUAACCAUUACUGCUGACCUGUUAAGCUUUGUUGUUGUUGAUAUAUCAAGAACUAGUGCUGAUGGAUCUGCAAUUUGAAGGGGUACUUGAUAUUCUGCCUCAGCUAACUCUUUGAAGAUUAAUAUAUCUUCCUCUUCUUUUUGAUAUGUCUGUACUACUACAAUAGCACCAUAUUCCUGUAUAUUAGGAUGCUUGAAACUACUAACAUUGGAUUUUGCUCUGCAGAUGCAACACUCAGCUACCUCUCACCUUCUCCAGUCUCUGCAUCUAUUCUUACUCGUUGAUGUUGAGAUUUUUGACCCAGCAACUCCCUUAUUUCCCCAUUAUGAUGUGUGGCUACUUUAUUAAUAUUUUCUUGCUUUGUGGUUCUAUUACUGCUGCUUGUUGAUUCCCCUCUCUUUCUUUGAUAAUUGGCAAAAUCAUUUGUUAUUCACUCCUUUGUAGAUGAAUGAUGGUGUCAUUUACUAAUUUUUCCCUGGCUUCUGACUUCACUAGGUUUAUCAGUGCUAUCAUUUACCCUAGUAGAUUCCUCAGGAUGCAUCUCUUCAUUCUUCUCAAACAGAGAAGCAAAAGCAUUAUCAGCGCUAUCUCUUGGGCCUUUUACAUGGACAGUUCAGGAUGGAAGCUUCUGCACAUUUCCUCCCCGUGACCUUGUACUUUACAUUGUUUACAAUAUUUGGGAAGUAUAUCAUAUUGGAUCUUAACUCUUUAUAUUCUAGACUCAGUUGUCUUUUUGUUAAUGAUCUCUAUUUCCACAUGUUUAGGAAAAUCACCUAACAGGUCCACUUGCCCUUGACCCUUGCACAAUUAGGCCUAGUUUUAUUAAUUAUAGCCAUAUCUAAAUGUAAUGGUUUUCUAACAGCCGUAGCUAAUGAAAACAAAGGCUCUUUCACAAA